GACGAACGCUGGCGGCGUGCUUAAUACAUGCAAGUCAACGACUUUUAGAGUAGCAAUAUUUUAAAGGAGUGGCGCACGGGUGAGUAACACGUAGGUAAUCUGCCUUCAGGACUGACACAACUCGUCGAAAGACGGGCUAAUAUCAGAUAAUGCAGCGGCUCCGCAUGGAGACAGUUGUUAAAGUACAAGCGCCUGAAGAUGAGCCUGCGGUCCAUUAGCUAGUUGGUAGAGUAACAGCCUACCAAGGCAACGAUGGAUAGCUGGUCUGAGAGGAUGAUCAGCCACACUGGAACUGAGACACGGUCCAGACUCCUACGGGAGGCAGCAGUAAGGAAUAUUGCUCAAUGGCCGAAAGGCUGAAGCAGCAACGCCGCGUGAAGGAUGAAUGGCCUUUGGCCUGUAAACUUCU
rnacentral:rRNA from 1 species